rnacentral:rRNA from 1 species
AUUGAACGCUGGCGGCAUGCCUUACACAUGCAAGUCGAACGGUAACGCGGGGCAACCUGGCGACGAGUGGCGAACGGGUGAGUAAUGCAUCGGAACGUGCCCAGUAGUGGGGGAUAGCCCGGCGAAAGCCGGAUUAAUACCGCAUACGACCUAAGGGUGAAAGCGGGGGAUCGCAAGACCUCGCGCUAUUGGAGCGGCCGAUGUCAGAUUAGGUUGUUGGUGGGGUAAAAGCCUACCAAGCCGACGAUCUGUAGCUGGUCUGAGAGGACGACCAGCCACACUGGGACUGAGACACGGCCCAGACUCCUACGGGAGGCAGCAGUGGGGAAUUUUGGACAAUGGGGGCAACCCUGAUCCAGCCAUGCCGCGUGCGGGAAGAAGGCCUUCGGGUUGUAAACCGCUUUUGUCAGGGAAGAAACGCCCUGGGCUAAUACCCCGGGGUAAUGACGGUACCUGAAGAAUAAGCACCGGCUAACUACGUGCCAGCAGCCGCGGUAAUAC